rnacentral:rRNA from 1 species
UACGAGGGGGGCUAGUGUUGUUCGGAAUCACUGGGCGUAAAGGGGGCGUAGGCGGGAGCCUAAGUUGGGUGUUUAAUUCCGGGGCCCAACCCCGGGCGUGCACUCAAAACUGGGUUUCUUGAAUAGGGGAGAGGUCGGUGGAAUUGGAGGUGUAGCGGUGGAAUGCGUAGAGAUCUCCAAGAACACCCGUUGCGAAGGCGGCCGACUGGACCCAUAUUGACGCUGAGGCUCGAAAGCAUGGGGAGCAAACAGG